rnacentral:rRNA from 1 species
ACUGCUCAGUAACACGUGGACAACCUGCCCUUAGGUUGGGUAUAAACCCGGGAAACUGGGUAUAAUACCCGAUAGGUCUCGAUUGCUGGAAUGCAUCGAGAUUUAAAGCUCCGGCGCCUAAGGAUGGGUCUGCGGCCUAUCAGGUAGUAGUGGGUGUAGCGUACCUACUAGCCUACGACGGGUACGGGUUGUGAGAGCAAGAGCCCGGAGAUGGAUUCUGAGACACGAAUCCAGGCCCUACGGGGUGCAGCAGGCGCGAAAACUUUACAAUGCUGGCAACAGCGAUAAGGGAACCUCGAGUGCCAGGUUACAAAUCUGGCUGUCGAGAUGCCUAAAAAGCAUUUCAUAGCAAGGGCCGGGCAAGACCGGUGCCAGCUGCCGCGGUAACACCGGCGGCUCGAGUGGUAACCGUUAUUAUUGGGUCUAAAGGGUCUGUAGCCGGCCGGAUAAGUCUCUUGAGAAAUCUGGCAGCUUAACUGUCAGGCUUUCAGGAGAUACUGUCUGGCUCGAGGCCGGGAGAGGUGAGAGGUACUUCAGGGGUAGGGGUGAAAUCUUGUAAUCCUUGAAGGACCACCAGUGGCGAAGGCGUCUCACCAGAACGGACCUGACGGCAGGGGACGAAAGCUAGGGGCACGAACCGGAUUAGAUACCCGGGUAGUCCUAGCCGUAAACGAUACUCGCUAGGUGUCGGCCACGGUGCGACCGUUGUCGGUGCCGUAGGGAAGCCGUGAAGCGAGCCACCUGGGAAGUACGGCCGCAAGGCUGAAACUUAAAGGAAUUGGCGGGGGAGCAC